rnacentral:rRNA from 1 species
GACGAACGCUGGCGGCGUGCUUAACACAUGCAAGUCGAACGGUAAGGCCCUUCGGGGUACACGAGUGGCGAACGGGUGAGUAACACGUGGGUGAUCUGCCCUGCACUUCGGGAUAAGCCUGGGAAACUGGGUCUAAUACCGGAUAGGACCACUGCCUGCAUGGGUGGUGGUGGAAAGCUUUUGCGGUGUGGGAUGGGCCCGCGGCCUAUCAGCUUGUUGGCGGGGUGAUGGCCUACCAAGGCGACGACGGGUAGCCGGCCUGAGAGGGUGACCGGCCACACUGGGACUGAGGUACGGCCCAGACUCCUACGGGAGGCAGCAGUGGGGAAUAUUGCACAAUGGGCGCAAGCCUGAUGCAGCGACGCCGCGUGAGGGAUGACGGCCUUCGGGUUGUAAACCUCUUUCAGCAUCGACGAAGCGCAAGUGACGGUAGGUGCAGAAGAAGGACCGGCCAACUACGUGCCAGCCGCCGCCGUAA